rnacentral:tmRNA from 2 species
GGGGGCGAUUCUGGCUUCGACGGGGGCACAGAAGCGCGGGAUGCAUGCCGAGCUCCAUUGACUCGUUAAUCCGAUGGGACAUCCGAUAACUGCGGAUACUCAGUACGCACUCGCUGCUUAAUUAAGCAGUGACGUCUGCCCCGGCCUGGCCUGGUGGCUGGGGGUCAGACGCCAUCACACAGGCUGGCGAUCGGGGGGCGGCUCGGCCUCCGGUCGUGAGAUGGUUCCGGGUCUGGUGUCCGGCGGUUUUGGCCGCUUCCUCACGCCGGGCACGAGAAAUCAGAAGCGGACACGCAUGUAGAGUCCUGCGGGGACGUGCUUUCGGACGCGGGUUCGACUCCCGCCGCCUCCACCA